GGUUAAACMGUACGUGAAAUUGUUGAAAGGGAAGCGCUUGUGACCAGACUUGGGCGCGGCGGAUCAUCCGGGGUUCUCCCCGGUGCACUUCGCCGUGUUCAGGCCAGCAUCAGUUCGGCGCGGGGGAAAAAGGCUUCGGGAACGUGGCUCCUCCGGGAGUGUUAUAGCCCGUUGCAUAAUACCCUGCGCUGGACUGAGGACCGCGCAUCUGCAWGGAUGCUGGCGUAAUG
rnacentral:rRNA from 1 species